rnacentral:rRNA from 1 species
AUUAAGCAUAUCAAUAAGCGGAGGAAAAGAAACCAACAGGGAUUGCCCUAGUAACGGCGAGUGAAGCGGCAACAGCUCAAAUUUGAAAUCUGGCCUCGGCCCGAGUUGUAAUUUGCAGAGGAAGCUUUGGGCGCGGCACCGACCGAGUCCCCUGGAACGGGGCGCCAUAGAGGGUGAGAGCCCCGUAUGGUCGGACGCCUAGCCUGUGUAAAGCUCCUUCGACGAGUCGAGUAGUUUGGGAAUGCUGCUCAAAAUGGGAGGUAAAUUUCUUCUAAAGCUAAAUACCGGCCAGAGACCGAUAGCGCACAAGUAGAGUGAUCGAAAGAUGAAAAGCACUUUGAAAAGAGGGUUAAAUAGCACGUGAAAUUGUUGAAAGGGAAGCGCUUGUGACCAGACUUGCGCCCGGCUGAUCAUCCGGUGUUCUCACCGGUGCACUCUGCCGGGCUCAGGCCAGCAUCGGUUCUCGCGGGGGGACAAAGGCCCUGGGAACGUAGCUCCUCCGGGAGUGUUAUAGCCCUGGGUGCAAUGCCCUCGCGGGGACCGAGGUUCGCGCAUCUGCAAGGAUGCUGGCGUAAUGGUCACCAGCGACCCGUCUUGAAACACGGACCAAGGAGUCAAGGUUUUGCGCGAGUGUUUGGGUGUAAAACCCGCACGCGUAAUGAAAGUGAACGUAGGUGAGAGCUUCGGCGCAUCAUCGACCGAUCCUGAUGUUUUCGGAUGGAUUUGAGUAGGAGCGUUAAGCCUUGGACCCGAAAGAUGGUGAACUAUGCUUGGAUAGGGUGAAGCCAGAGGAAACUCUGGUGGAGGCUCGCAGCGGUUCUGACGUGCAAAUCGAUCGUCAAAUCUGAGCAUGGGGGGCGAAAGACUAAUCGAACCAUCUAGUAGCUGGUUACCGCCGAAGU